UUGUGGCGGGUAUAACUAGGAAAGGAAGUGACUAGUUCUUUCUAUUGCAGGGCUGAGGUCCCGGCAGCGGCGCCUGUGUUUCUUCAUCGGUUGUGGCUGUGUUUAUUCCCUCAAAUUCCUCUUGAUUCCAUGAGCUACGGUCGGCCUCCGCCGGACGUGGAGGGAAUGACCUCUCUCAAGGUUGAUAAUUUAACCUACCGAACCUCCCCGGAGACCCUGCGCCGGGUGUUCGAGAAAUAUGGCAGGGUGGGUGAUGUCUACAUCCCAAGAGACCGCUACACAAAGGAGAGCCGGGGUUUCGCCUUCGUUCGCUUCCAUGACAAGCGCGAUGCCGAGGAUGCGAUGGACGCUAUGGAUGGCGCCGUGCUGGACGGACGCGAGCUGAGGGUGCAGAUGGCCCGCUACGGGCGCCCUCCCGACUCCCACCACGGAAGGCGAGGGCCUCCUCCUCGGAGAUACGGCGACUAUGGCCGGCGAAGCAGCAGAAGCCCUAGAAGGCGUCGUCGCAGCCGCUCCAGAAGCAAGAGUAGAUCAAGGUCCCGCAGCAGAUCUCGCUACAGCCGAUCCAAGUCCCGCUCUCGUACAAGGUCUCGUACUCGGUCCAGCUCAAAGUCUCGCUCGGCGAGAAGAUCCAAGUCAAAGUCGACUGCGUCAAGGUCUCGCUCCAGGUCUAGAUCCAGAUCAAGGAAUUCGCCUCCUCCGCAGAAAUCCAAAUCCAGAUCCCGCUCUCGGAGCCCUCCAAAGUCUCCAGAAGAAGAGGGAGCAGUGUCUUCAUGAAGCUGCGGGCUCCAGUUGCUUAAGGAGUAUUGGGCUGUAUUGCAGAUAUUAAGUGGUUUUUCCUGAUCCUCCAGGGACCAGUUUCUGUGGGCGUGUAUUGGAGCAGAAUCAACAUCUGGAACUCUACAAGAUGAAAAUCAUCUCUUGGGUGAUAAUUCUUCAUUAGCCCAUGGAGAAAUAGAGCAAAGCAACAGCCUGCCGAAAAGGUGGUUAUUUGUAUGAUUUCUUAAACUUUUUACCUAUUUCAGUUGCGCUUUGUGUCGCAAGACUUUACAUUUUAUGUGCAAUUUUGUUCCUGUUCAAAUUUCUUGUAAUUUAGUGAAAUGGCCGACUACAGAUUUCAAUAUUGGCUUGGAUAUCUGAGGUAACUUGCUUUUGUUAAAGUAUCAUUGAAAUUCUGUGGGGGAAAUAAAGGUAUCUCACAGCUGUCAUGCUCCACCCCUUUAUAUAGCGCAUGGACACUCAUCAGACUGGCCAGGGUUCCUCCAAGUGAAAUGUUCUUGUAAUGCGUGGAACUGUUAAUGAAAUGUACAUGUAACUAUGUUGCAAGGGUGUGUUUUUUUUAUUUGAUCACAACUCUAAUUUCUUCUCUUGUGUAUUUUUGUGCACUAGGCGCAGUUGUGUAGCAGUUGUAUUGCUGGUUAGCUGUAUAAGGUGGCGUGUUGCAGUGCAGAGUGCUUGGCUGUUUCCUGUUAUCUCCUCAUUGCUCCUGUGUAACGCUGCCUUGUCGUGCAGAAAACACAUGGCUGUCCAGUUUAUUAGGAUGCCUAACGACAACUGCACAUCCAGUCGCCCGGCCUUGUGUAAAAUUACGGAGCAUACAGUGAGCACAUCUAGCUGAUGAGAAACACCUUAUGUUUUAAACCUGGUAAAUCCUGAGCAUCAAUAUGUAAUAUCAUAUGCUGGUGUCAUUCCUUUGUAUGUAAUGAUCUGCAUAUAUCUGGCUCUCACAUUCUGUACUAUAACCACUGUUUUCUGUAGUAAAUAAAACUUUUUUUUCUUUA